rnacentral:rRNA from 1 species
AAUCAACGCUGGCGGCGUGCCUCAGACAUGCAAGUCGAACGAUUAAGACUCUCUUCGGAGAGUGUAUAAAGUGGCGCACGGGUGAGUAACACGUAGGUAAUGUACCGAAGGGUGGGGAAUAACUUAGGGAAACUUAAGCUAAUACCGCAUAAUGCAGCGGCUCGACAUCGAGACAGUUGUUAAAGGAGCAAUCCGCCUUUUGAGCAGCCUGCGGCAGAUUAGCUAGUUGGUAAGGUAAUAGCUUACCAAGGCUACGAUCUGUAACCGACCUGAGAGGGUGGUCGGUCACACUGACACUGAAUAACGGGUCAGACUCCUACGGGAGGCAGCAGUCGGGAAUUUUGGGCAAUGGGCGAAAGCCUGACCCAGCAACGCCGCGUGAAGGAUGAAGUAUUUCGGUAUGUAAACUUCGUAAGAAUAGGAAGAAUAAAUGACGGUACUAUUUGUAAGGUCCGGCUAACUACGUGCCAGCAGCCGCGGUAAU